UACGUAGGCAGCAAGCGUUGUUCGGAGUUACUGGGCGUAAAGGGUGUGUAGGCGGUUCUCUAAGUUUGGUGUGAAAUCUCCCGGCUCAACUGGGAGGGUGCGCCGAAAACUGGAGAGCUAGAGUACUGGAUGGGAGAGUGGAAUUCCGGGUGUAGCGGUGGAAUGCGUAGAGAUCCGGAAGAACACCGGUGGCGAAGGCGGCCUGCUGGGCAGUGGCUGACGCUGAGGCGCGACAGCGUGGGGAGCAAACAGG
rnacentral:rRNA from 1 species